UACGUAGGGUGCGAGCGUUAAUCGGAAUUACUGGGCGUAAAGCGUGCGCAGGCGGUUCGUUAAGUUCGUUGUGAAAGCCCCGGGCUCAACCUGGGAACUGCAUUUGUGACUGCAUCGCUGGAGUGCGGCAGAGGGGGAUGGAAUUCCGCGUGUAGCAGUGAAAUGCGUAGAUAUGCGGAGGAACACCGAUGGCGAAGGCAAUCCCCUGGGCCUGCACUGACGCUCAUGCACGAAAGCGUGGGGAGCAAACAGG
rnacentral:rRNA from 1 species